rnacentral:siRNA from 1 species
GGACCAGUGCCAGUGUAGAUGU